rnacentral:lncRNA from 1 species
AGCUCGCGAAUCGUUGGUCGAUUGCCGGAGCGGUUCUCUUCAAGUUGGUAGAGUGUUUCUUUUCAUUAUAUUUCUGUUUCAUUUGAUUGUAAUCUGUCAAACCAAUUUUAGUGGAACUGUUAAUCACUAUUUAUAGUGAUUAACGACUGGACGUAGAUUUUGUUGAAUCGAACCACUAUAAAAAUACUCGUGUGAUUUUUCUAUUCCCUACACUCAUUUUAUUUAACGUAUAUCAACUGUUUGAUUAAUUUUCUGAAAGAAAAUUAUUUUUUGCUAAAAGGACCAAAUUAAUUUUAAUUGUGAUCGAAUACGCUUUCCGCUCUCUGAGUUUUAAAUCCGCUGCGCAAUACUCUUCGAAAAUUACCCCCUCCGAUACCAACAAAUGUCACAUUCUAACUUACCCUAAACCCCAUGUCUCGGUGACGAGAGCCUACUCCUAAUUAUUAGUUUACAAUAUCUUGUCUCCCUAGAAAUUCAUCAUGCAUUACAUUCGCACAGAAGCUUAAAGGCAAUCGGUCCUCCUAUCCC